UUCACAACCUCAAUUGGAAACGCUAAUUUAUGGCGGCUAUUUUGGCGGCAGGGACAUUAAAAAACGCGUAAAACGGACGAAUACUGAAUAACAAUAACCAACUGUUUUUUAAAUGCAAUAUACUGUUUUUACUAUACUAAAAAUGGGUAUGUAGGAAUUUCGGACGCGGGUUCAACUCCCGCCAGCUCCACCA
rnacentral:tmRNA from 1 species